GUGGGGAAUUUUGGACAAUGGGCGCAAGCCUGAUCCAGCCAUGCCGCGUGAGUGAAGAAGGCCUUCGGGUUGUAAAGCUCUUUCGGCCGGGAAGAAAUCGGCGACUCUAACAUAGUCGCUGGAUGACGGUACCGGACUAAGAAGCACCGGCUAACUACGUGCCAGCAGCCGCGGUAAUACGUAGGGUGCGAGCGUUAAUCGGAAUUACUGGGCGUAAAGCGUGCGCAGGCGGUUUUGUAAGACAGAUGUGAAAUCCCCGGGCUUAACCUGGGAACUGCGUUUGUGACUGCAAGGCUAGAGUACGGCAGAGGGGGGUGGAAUUCCUGGUGUAGCAGUGAAAUGCGUAGAUAUCAGGAGGAACACCGAUGGCGAAGGCAGCCCCCUGGGCCUGUACUGACGCUCAUGCACGAAAGCGUGGGGAGCAAACAGGAUUAGAUACCCGAGUAGUCC
rnacentral:rRNA from 1 species